rnacentral:rRNA from 1 species
GACGUAGGGCGCGAGCGUUGUCCGGAUUUAUUGGGCGUAAAGAGCUCGUAGGCGGCUUGUCGCGUCGACUGUGAAAACCCGCGGCUCAACCGCGGGCCUGCAGCCGAUACGGGCAGGCUGGAGUUCGGUAGGGGAGACUGGAAUUCCUGGUGUAGCGGUGAAAUGCGCAGAUAUUGGGAGGAACACCAGUGGCGAAGGCGGCUCACUGGACCGGUACUGACGCUGAUGCGCGAAAGCGUGGGGAGCAAACGGG